AGGUCCUAAAGUUCAAGUUGCACAUGCUACCCAUGGGCAAACAGGCGCUAAAGGGAAUUGGCUGGAAAUUGAGGAGGUGGACUUGAGUCUCAGUCAUGUUUGGAGCAACGAUUUAUUUUGGUUACUGGCCACUAUCCUGGAUGGCUUGCUUGGGGUGCUGAUUUUGAAGAACUUUUUAUAUAAAGGUGUGAAGAGUUAGUGGCUCACGAGGCCCGGAAUGAGGAGUUUUAAGCCAAGGCAGACUGUCAACCUGAACAUUAAGAGGGCAUUUGUGAGGGCAGCGAUCCAGUUAUGAGAGCAGCUUGCUAGUUGAAAGCACCUGGAUGGAUGCCCACGGGAUAGAAGAUCAAGCUUUUCAAUAUCAAUAAAUUUUUAUAAACCAUC